rnacentral:lncRNA from 1 species
GGUUAAUUCUUUCUCAGACUGCCAGUUUUGCUUCCUCAGACCGGUUUCCCGUGUGAAUGUCUUCAUUCCCAGAAUGUGUUUCAUCAACUUGUUCAAUCGUCUAUGACAGUUGCAUCCAUCGAGCUUCAUAACAAGCUUGUAUACCUUGUUUGUUUUGAAGUUUUGCUAGAGAAUGAAAUUAUGCCUAGAAAUUUCCUCGGUUGGAUAUUAUGAAUUUGCACAAUAAUAAUUUUAGUUCGAAUGUUUAUUUCCCAUCUCCAGCAUCUUCACGUGUUGCUGGUGCUGAUGGUCGUCAUGGUGCUGCACGUCGCCGCCACCCUCCUGCUCCGGUUGGUGUCAAACGACGCGGGCGACGCCAUCUAGUCCUCCGCCCACCGCAGCUUAUGUCCAUCCGAUUUUAACUUUAGCUUCAGCAGUACCCCUAAACUUCAUUUGGUUUUGGAUUACACUGACUAGUGGGUCUCAUACGUCAGUGGGCCAUUGCCUUUUCUUUUUCUUUUUUCUCCUCUCAUCUUCUUCCCCAUUGGAGCAGGCGGGCGAAGUGGGACGCGCGGCUGGGCAAUGGCGGCGCGGUGGCCAUGGCCGUUGGACGCGGCGGCCGGCGCGUUUGCUGGAAGCAGCGGCGGCACGUCGCGGUGGGCAGCC